GCCAGGCAUGGUGGUGUGUGCCUGUAGUUCCAGCUACUUGGGAGGCUGAGGUGGGAGGAUCGCUUGAGCCCAGGAGUUCUGGGCUGUAGUGCGCUAUGCUGAUUGGGUGUCUGCACUAAGUUCGGCAUCAAUAUGGUGACCUCCCAGGAGCAGGGGACCACCAGGUUGCCUAAGGAGGGGUGAACCGGCCCAGGUUGGAAACAGAGCAGGUCAAAACUCCUGUGCUGAUCAGUAGUGGGAUCGCGCCUGUGAAUAACCACCGCACUCCAGCCUGGGCAACAUAGUGAGACCCUCUCUCUA
rnacentral:SRP_RNA from 1 species